rnacentral:rRNA from 1 species
AAGAAGCGAAGUGACGGUACUGCAGAGAGCACCGCUACUACGUGCCAGCAGCGCGGUAUACGUAAGGGUGCGAGCGUUGUCGAAUUAUUGGGCGUAAAGAGCUGUAGCGGUUUGUCGCGUCUGCUGUGAAAAUCCGGGGCUCAACCCCGGACUUGCAGUGGGUACGGGCAGACUAGAGUGUGGUAGGGGAGACUGGAAUUCCUGGUGUAGCGGUGAAAUGCGCAGAUAUCAGGAGGAACACCGAUGGCGAAGGCAGGUCUCUGGGCCACUACUGACGCUGAGAAGCGAAAGCAUGGGGAGCGAACAGGAUUAGAUACCCUGGUAGUCCAUGCCGUAAACGUUGGGCGCUAGGUGUGGGACUCAUUCCACGAGUUCCGUGCCGCAGCUAACGCAUUAAGCGCCCCGCCUGGGGAGUACGGCCGCAAGGCUAAAACUCAAAGGAAUUGACGGGGGCCCGCACAAGCGGCGGAGCAUGCGGAUUAAUUCGAUGCAACGCGAAGAACCUUACCAAGGCUUGACAUAUACCGGAAACUUCCAGAGAUGGUUGCCCCCUUUGGGUCGGUAUACAGGUGGUGCAUGGUUGUCGUCAGCUCGUGUCGUGAGAUGUUGGGUUAAGUCCCGCAACGAGCGCAACCCUCGUUCUAUGUUGCCAGCACGUAAUGGUGGGGACUCAUGGAAGACUGCCGGGGUCAACUCGGAGGAAGGUGGGGAUGACGUCAAAUCAUCAUGCCCCUUAUGUCUUGGGCUUCACGCAUGCUACAAUGGCCGGUACAAAGGGCUGCGAUGCCGUAAGGUGGAGCGAAUCCCAAAAAACCGGUCUCAGUUCGGAUUGGGGUCUGCAACUCGACCCCAUGAAGUCGGAGUCGCUAGUAAUCGCAGAUCAGCAACGCUGCGGUGAAUACGUUCCCGGGCCUUGUACACACCGCCCGUCAAGUCACGAAAGUCGGUAACACCCGAAGCCGGUGGCCCAACCCUUGUGGGGGGAGCCGUCGAAGGUGGGACCGGCGAUUGGGACUAAGUCGUAACAAGGUAGCCGUAAAUCGAAUUC